UUCUUAUGUUGAGAAGUGGAGGGACGGGCCCUAUGAAACUUCGGCAACCUCGUAUGAGACGAAAGGUGCCAAAUCCUGCAGGUGAAGAAACACCUGAAAGAUAAGAG
rnacentral:ncRNA from 18 species